rnacentral:rRNA from 1 species
UUGACCUCAAAUCAGGUAGGACUACCCGCUGAACUUAAGCAUAUCAAUAAGCGGAGGAAAAGAAACUAACAAGGAUUCCCCUAGUAACUGCGAGUGAAGCGGGAAAAGCUCAAAUUUAAAAUCUGGCGGUCUUGCGGCCGUCCGAGUUGUAAUCUGGAGAAGCGUUUAUCCGCGUCGGACCGUGUACAAGUCUCCUGGAAGGGAGCGUCGUAGAGGGUGAGAAUCCCGUCUUUGACACGGACAACCGAUGCUUUUGUGA